rnacentral:lncRNA from 1 species
GCAAAACAGAUGUGUGUGGGUAGGAAGGCUGUGAGAACAGAGGAUAGCUCCAAGAAGAAAUGAAGUCAGCCCUCAGUAUAUGAUAUCCCCCGUGUAUCUUUCCAUCUAAUCUAGCCAGAACGUGCACAGAAUGGGAGCCUGGCUGUUUUCUGCAUCAGACAUUCACCAACCCUGCAUGCUGCUCUCCUGGCCAAUGCCUUGCUCAUCAGCUGCCUUCUAAGGAAGGGUCUCUGGUGUGCUGCUGGCACUGGGCAGCAGACACUUCUGACCAGGAUGUAUCCUCCCUUGUCAGCAAAGCUGUGGUUUCCUUCCCCAUAUGCUGCACAGAAUAACCAAGACCAGGACAUUCAUCUCCCAC